rnacentral:rRNA from 1 species
GACGAACGCUGGCGGCGUGCCUAAUACAUGCAAGUAGCACGCAGUUGCGCACGGGUGAGUAACGCGUAGGUAACUGCCUCAUAGCGGGGGAUUACUAUUGGAAACGAUAGCUAAUACCGCAUACUGUGAGUUGGACCUGCGUUGUAUUAGCUAGUUGGUGAGGUAAAGGCUCACCAAGGCGACGAUACACAGCCGACCUGAGAGGGUGAUCGGCCACACUGGGACUGAGACACGGCCCAGACUCCUACGGGAGGCAGCAGUAGGGAAUCUUAGGCAAUGGGCGCAAGCCUGAUGCAGCCAUGCCGCGUGUAUGAAGAAGGCCUUCGGGUUGUAAAGUACUUUCAGCGGGGAGCGUUACCCGCAGAAGAAGCACCGGCUAACUCCGUGCCAGCAGCCGCGGUAAUAC